rnacentral:misc_RNA from 1 species
GCUAACACAUUAAUGCAAAAUUGAAUUUGCUCGCGCUUAUGUACUUGACUUUUCAACUUUUUUAUCCACACUUUUCUCUUGCACCACUCAAUCAAUUCAACCGGAUGACACAGUUGACUAUUUUUGCUUUAGCGUGAAAUUUACUCGCUUGCGCAACAUUGUUAGGUUAGGCGCGAAGCGCCUAAUCAAACAGACCUAGUAUUAUAAAUGCAUUAGGUAUAGUAACAUAUAUGGAUUACUAAUUUAAAAAGAUGAGCAAGGCAUACACCACCUCCUCCCACUAAGUACUUUCCAUAACCCCCACUUACAAGUUGUUGGUGGUAUCCAACCAACGGUGCAGCCUCGUAGAAUCUACCGCCAUAAAAUAGUUAGUUUCAAAAUCUCCGGUCCAGAACUCCAUAGACAUACGUGCUGGAAGGACAGCAAAAUUCGAAGAGAUGGUAAAACUAUUUGAGCGCAACAGAGUGGUAAACUCAACGUCUAGAUAUGAGAGGACUAGAAUGUGGUACCGAAAUUGUUCAAGUUUGUCUUAUAAUCUGAUCUACUAUCGCAAUACCGAUCGUCCGAAUUUCUUCUCAAUCUGAAGUUUGGGUUCCCGAGACAUCCACACAUCUCGAUAAUGUCCGUAGAUCUUAGCAGCCAGUCCAUUGCAUGAAUAUGGUCGAGAACCCAAAUGUGAAGGCUCCAUAAGCGUCAAUGGUGGGGUCAGGUGGAAUGAGGGGAGUAAUAUACAUUUUUCACCUUUGUGUCGUUUCACACAACUCUCAAGUUCUGUCAUGCGGCAAUUCUGCUAACCGGCUUUGAAGUAAACAACACAAUCUGUUGAUUCUUCGUAAAAGUGCAAAUUCGAUCACUUUCGACGAGACUAAGUGAUUGACGCUGGUCCAGAACGCAGUGGUGUACAACGGCAACUUUACAUGAGCUUUUGUUAGAAAAUUGUGAUAUACAUAUCCAGCAUCAUCAUAGUUUUUUUAAGAAAUCAUUUCUUAUUGUUUGUACGACCUGAAGUUGUUUACGGACGUAUGGAUCUUAAUGGUACAUCAAUUCCUGGGACCAGUAGAGGUUCAUCAUUUGAACCAUCCAGAAAACUGCAAAAGAUGAAAAGAACCUUAAAUCAACAUGAUUCAACAAAAAUGUUGGAUGAAAAUUCAGAUUUAGAUUCAGAUUUAGAAGGUGAACAUCAUGGUGAUGAUGAUGACAACGAUUAUACCUUUGAAACUGUUGAUGAAAAGCCUAUGUUGAAAUGUCCUACCCUUUUUACAUUUUUAUGUGUACCUGAAAUGACCAAUCCAAAUUUGAAUCCUGAGUCUGCUGGCAGUGAACCUGAUACAGAUCCAUUAACAGCAACCUCUUCUGAUUAUAAUGAUAAUCCUUCAUUAAGUACUAAUAUACACUUUGAUGAAGCAUUAAAAGUAAGACCUAAUGCUAAUACUCCCAUUGAUUAUUUUUCUUUGUUAUUUACGCGAGAUUUGUUGCAAGAAAUAGUAUAUGAAACAAACAGAUUUGCUUAUCUUCCAUCUUCUCAAAUUUCAAAUUGGAAGAAGCUUACUGUAGAUGAGUUAAGAGUUUUUUUUGGUUUAUUCUUUCACACUGGUGUUGUAAAGAUAUUACAGAUACGAUACUAUUGGGACAAAAGUGAACUGUUUAAUUUUCCAUUCUUCUCAAGUAGAAUGUCCAGGAACAGAUAUAUGGCUAUACUCCAAUGUCUCCACUUUGCUCAAGAUCCUACAGAACGGGAAACAGCACCUAGGGAUCCGUUUUAUAAAGUUCGUUCUAUAGUGGACCAUUUCCAGAAUAGGAUGAUGGAAGUGUAUAAGUCAGAAAGAAGGAUUAAUCCGUAUGAGCCACUGGCGUCGUGGAAUGGUCGUAUUUUUUAUAGAUCUUAUGUUAUAAACAAAACUCAGAAGCGCAAUGUAAAAAUGUAUAUAUUAGCCGAAAACGAUGGACUAGUCCAACGUUUGUUGCUUCAUCCUGGCACAGAAGGCAAAAGCCAAAGAGAUUCCAAUAGAGUAUGCUUCAAGAAUUUUCCAAGAAAGAUAGCCGUCUGCAUGUUGCUGUUUCCAAAACUACCACAAGUAAAGGUCUUGGGCAAGAAAAAUCAGAGGGGAUGCCUAAAUUAAAUAAGCAUGUAGGAGGCAUUGAUCAACUCUUAUCAUAUUACCUUACUACAAGGAGGAGGUAUUCAGGGGACAAAGAAUAUUAUUUAUUUAGAUAUCGCUUAGAAGUAGUGAAGAGUUUAUCAGGUCCACCAUCAGGAAGACUUUCUG